CAGCGUGCUGCAUCUCAGCCAACUCCAGGAGCCAGUUGAUGUGAUGGACUACCUUAAUUGAUUUUUGAAUGUUGAGCCAGCCUUAUGCAUGUGGGAUAAACCCCUGUUGAUCAUGGCUGGCUGGAGUGCAGUGGUGCAAUCAUGGCUCACUGCAACCUCAAAUUCCUGGGCUCAAGGGAUCCUCCUGCCUCAGCCUCCCAAGUAGCUAGGACUACAGGUAUGUGCCACCACUCCCAACUAAUUUUUUUAUUUUUUGUAGAGACGAGAUCUAACUUUGUUGCCCAGGCUGGUAUUGAACUCUUGGGUUCAAGUAAUCCUCCUGCCUCAGUCUCCUAAAGUGCUAGGGUUAUAGAUGUGAGCCACUGUACCCAGCCAGGUUGUAUAUUGAAAUAAUAAUUUCUUAAUAUAUUGAAUUAAAAUAUAUUUAAGGCA
rnacentral:lncRNA from 1 species